AUGAUAAAACCUGUCUGUCUGUCUGUCUGUCUGCAGGAUGAGAACUCUUCUCUUCAGCAUGCAGUCCACAGCCUUCAGGUCCAGCAUGAAGACACCAGAACCCAGCUGGACCAGAUCACAGCGGCCAUGUUGGAUCCUCAGGAGCUUCAGAACGGACCAGAGGACAAGUACAGGCCUGAGGACAUGUUGUCCAGGAGUGUGGAGCAGCUCUACAGGGCGAUCCAGCAGACCAGAACCGGCCAGGAACACAUCUCCACACUGCAGGCCCGCGGGGGCGCUGCGGAGCUGCAGAGACUGAGAGUCAGAAACAGACACGCUCAACACAAACUGGAGGUGGAACUGGAGCAGAGCGGUGUGCAGCUGCAGGACGUCCAGCAGGAGAGAGACUCGCUGCUACACCAGCUGCGUUCACAGAGCGACGGUCACCAGCGGAGCCUCGGCCGUCUGAACAGGAAACUACGGCAGCUCAGCAGGUCCAUGUGUGACUCUGAUCAGCUGACAGCAGAGCAGCUGAGAGCGCUGGCACACAUGGUGCAGGACACUGUGGACAAGAUCGACGGCAGAUUUCACGAACACACAGCGCUGCAGUGUGAGCACACACACACGCUUGAGGAGCUGAGGGCCGAACUGGAUAAAGCUCAGAGACACACACACAGACUGAGACAGAAGCUGGACCGGACCAGAGCCAGAGAGGGAGGACAGUGGUGCUUCAUACCUCCUGGACACACUGCUCCCAGUCUGGGCUCUCUGGGAACUCAGGACUCCGGGUUGGGGCUGCAGUACCUCAGACCUCCCGCAAGAGGAGGGUACUGUGUCUACUUCCCCCCGACACACAGCGACUCUGACACAGCAGCAGCAGCAGAGUGGAGGGACAGCGGAGGAGGAAGUGACGCUGACCGGAGCUCCAGAGGACGGACUCCUCCUGUUCCUCCUGCCCCAGCUGCAGCUGUCUCUGCUGGACUCGCUGACGGUCAGACUCCGCUGGUUGGACCCGCCUGGCUGCUCUGUGGCUCACCUGCAGGAGGCGCUGCGCUGCACUGUAACAUCCCAGAACACAGAGACACGGUGAGAAUCAGGCUUUUAAACCGGGAACCACAGAGACCUGAGAAGAGUGGGAAAACAUCUUCCAGGUCUGAUCUAAAUAGUUUUCUCUCCUGUGAGUAUGACUUAAAAUAUAGUAAAAAUAAUAAAGUCCUUUUUCAGAAAUCGUGCAAAUAGGUAAAAACAAUGUUUUGGCAGCUGAUU
rnacentral:lncRNA from 1 species